UUCAGGGAAGAGGGAUAGAGAGAUGAGAGUCCGGUCUCGGGGAUGAGACGCCGCAACCGGCGGCGUCGGUGGCCGAAAAAGAGAGGAAGAUGGCUCGACCGAACAGAGCAAAAUAGGGGUCACCUUGUUCAUGGAUUUUUUGGCAAUCUCAAAGGUCGGAGAGGGUGCACGAAGCCAUGAAAAAGAGAGGAAGGAAGAGAGGAAGGAGAAGAAGGGUUUACCUCAAGCUUCAGCAGUGUCGUCGGCU
rnacentral:lncRNA from 1 species